GCCUCCCUUUACCAUGACCUCUGGCUCAUCUGUAAGGAAGGGGCAGAGGGUCCCACUGUGCACGCAGUUGCUGGUGGGUCCACAGCAGAGAGUGGGGUGUCAUGCGGGAGCAGGACUGUGGAGUAGCUUUGCAAGCCUUUACUUAGGGGCAAAAUGAUGUCUGCACAUCCCUUCCCAGAAGGGUGGCUGUCCAACACUGCCUGGCGCUGGGCUCUUCCCCAUGAGCGUACCAGAUCUGGGAGAGCAUCGUCAGAGGCAGUGCCUGAGUGUUUGGCUACACAAAACAGCACCGGGUCUUUCCUGGAGCCACAUGUGGCUGAUGUUCAAUGAACAAUUAGCUUGUUUCAGGGAAGAGAGACACCUGAGAAUUUAAGAGCUUUUUGUUGGGGACUUAGUCGGGUUCACAGCUCAAUCUACAGCUCCUGGGUCAGUAAGUGCUAAGUGAUAGGCCCCGAAUCAAUGUUUGCUGAAUGAAUUCAAGAGCUCAGGGUGGGGUGGGGUGAGUUAUAGUAAACACAGUUGCAAGCAGCAAUGGAGGCAUCCCGGGAUGGGCACUGUAAGGACCAGGCCUUACUGAGGAGGCUGGGAUGCUCUGGAGAUACAAGAUGACUCCAGGAGUGUUUUUCAUAGAUGGCACCUGGACCACCUUGGGUGCACACUUUUUUUUUGAGAUGGAAUUUUGCUUUUGUAGCCCAGGCCUCUGCCUCCAGGGUUCAAACGAUUCUCCUGCCUCAGCCUCCCGAGUAGCUGGUAUUACAGGUGCCUGCCAUCACACCCAGCUAAUUUUUGUAUUUUUAGUAGAGACAGUGUUUCAACAUGUCAGCUAGGCUGGCCUCGAACUGCUGACCUCAGGUGAUCCACCCGCCUCAGCCUUCCAAAGUGCUGGGAUGACAGGCAUGAGCCACCGCGCCCGGCCGGGUGCACACUUCUGAAUCUCACUCCAGAUCUACUCAAUCAGAAUCUCUAGAGUGGGGCCCAGGGAACAGCGUUAAAGGACACAAGCAUCCUGGCCAACUAUUUGAGCAUGCCCCCCACAGGGGCUCCAGAUCAGGGUUUUGUAGAUCUGAGAGGUUUUCUUUGGCCCACAGAAUGUUUUACAAAUUAAUUGCCCUUAAUGAAAUGUCCCAUAAAAAUUUAAUUUCCAGGUUGGAGAAUGUGGCAAUGCUGGUUCUCCAGCAGCUGUCACCAUGGCCCCUUGGGGCUGUGCUGGCCACCUGGCCCUCCCCGGCCUCUCUGCAUCCUCCUGUUGCUCUGUUUCUACUCAAACUACUGCCACAGUUUCCCACUUGGCCUCACUUCCUUCAUGCUGUUUCCAGGCUGAUGUUGUAAAAUAGGAAUCUGAUCUUCAGGCCUCGCGUUGGAAACCUUCACUGGUGCCCUGCUGCUAUUAGGCCAAGGAGCACUGCUGCACCCCGAUGGCCUCCCUGCUCCUGCUUCCGUCUGGCUGUGUCUCCGGUUUCUGUUGCUGCGCCCCUCAUGUCCUGUACCCAUCACCCACGCAGGAGCCCACAAAACCUUGCCGACUGUCUUCAGUCCAACCGUGGCUCUCUACUCCAUCUGCACUGCUGUCUCUGUGCGUUCAUCAUCUCACAGCCAUCCUUUCAUAUGAGCAUGGUGGUGCAGGCCUGUAAUCUCAGCUCCUCAGGCGGGAGGAUCACUUGAUCCCCGGAAGUUUGAAGCUGGACUGCGCUGACCGCACCUGUGAAUACCACUGCCCGUCAAUCAGCCUAGGGGAAACAUUCUCGAGUGCGAGCAUGACGGCUUAGGUUGAUGUUUUUCAAAUUUUCCCAAUGAUGAGUAUUGUAAGGGACCAAAAUAAAAAAAUGCCAAUGCCUAGUCCCCUCUCAUCUAGAAUAAUUCCAUAGGUGAUGAUGGGGUCCAGGACUCUGAAUUUCGUCAAUUUUACCAAAUACUUCGUCCAGUGAGGCAAAUAUGGAAACACUUGGAUCACCUCUUCGUGAACGCACAUCAGCGCAUACGCCGGCUGUUUUUAUCAGGCGCUCACCCCUCAUCCAAUGGCGUGACUAGUUGUGGGUGGAGCCCGAAAUCUGGCUGCCUAGAGAAGGCUGAAGGUCCAGUUAUAGCAUAACUAAUGUUUCCCCAGAGCUCACAUACGUGCCAAGCACCGUGCUACAGCCUCCACAGCCCCUUCAUUUAAUCUUCCCGAUGGGCCUAUGAAAUAGGUGCUCCUGGCCCGCACCGUGGCUCAUGCCUCUAAUCCCAGCACUUUGGGAAGCUGAGGAGGGAGGGUCGCUUGAGUCCAGGAUUUCAAGACCAGCCUGGGAAACACACAGAGAGCCUAUCUCUACGAAAAUUUAAAAAAUUAGCCGGGUGUGGUGAUGCCUGACUGUGGUCCCACCUACUUAGUAGGCUAAGGUGGGAGGAUCCUCUGAGCCCGGGAAGCUGAGGCUGCAGUUAGCACUGCACUCCAGCAUGGGCGACAGAGUGAGACCCUGACUCAAAAAAAAAAAAAAAAAAGAAUAGGUGCUACUUGUAGUUCCCAUUUUACCCACCAAGAAACUGAAGAUCUGAGAGACAAAGCCUACAGGGUGACCGCUAGUCACUGGUAGGGCUGGGAUUUGAACAGGGGCGGUUUAACAACUGAUCUCUCGACCAUAAUGCGUGUUGCCCAAGAAAAAAGACCGUCCUCACGGUCCUAUCCACUCCGGACUUUGCAAUUCCGUUAUUUCGUAAAUUGAGGCCUAUAAAUAGUUUGCUUACCCGUUGUCUUAGUCCCCAGUAACAUGCAGAACUAAAGAAGAAACUGAAGGAGCACCGAUUUUGUUCACCUUGCUUUUUGGUUUAGUUCUGGAGGAGAACACAGGUGCACUUAGAACAGGAUCCACACUUACCAGAGGCUUGAUUCAUUUUAGCUGCAAAGAAAACCAGUCCUCGUCUACCUUUUUCGCGUGUUGGAGAACUAACUAGCAAGGCAGGGAAUGCGGUUCGUGGGCGCUUGGCCUCCUCAAGCGGCUCAGGCUCUCAGAGCGCGAGGCCCAGGGGCUCUGGAGCCGCGGCCGCGACGCGCCCGAGGGCCGUUCUCUUCGACGGCAGAGCAAGAGUCACCGCGCGGGAGCCCCGAGCGACCGCCCCGCUGCCCCGGUACCCUCCCCUCGCAGCCGCCCAGAGCUCUUCAUGCCCCGUGACGCCCGUUAGGGCAGCGCGGCCGGAGGCCGGGCCGGACGUGGCCCGAGAUGUCCGGGGGCAGGCAGAAGACCACGGGCACGCGACAGGCAACCGCCGCCUCGGCUCUAGAGGUGGACGUUUUGUCUCCCUGCGCUUCAAUACCAGAUUUUGUUUCCAG
rnacentral:lncRNA from 1 species